rnacentral:rRNA from 1 species
UACGUAGGGUGCUAGCGUUGUCCGGAUUUAUUGGGCGUAAAGGGCUCGUAGGCGGUUUGUCGCGUCGGAUGUGAAAGCCCGGGGCUUAACUCCGGGUCUGCAUUCGAUACGGGCAGACUAGAGUGUGGUAGGGGAGAUCGGAAUUCCUGGUGUAGCGGUGAAAUGCGCAGAUAUCUGGAGGAACACCGGUGGCGAAGGCGGCAUCCUGGACCGACACUGACGCUGAGGAGCGAAAGCCAGGGGAGCAAACGGG